rnacentral:rRNA from 1 species
GACGAACGCUGGCGGCGUGCUUAAUACAUGCAAGUCGAGCGCAGGAAGCCGACGGAACCCUUCGGGGGGAAGUCGACGGAAUGAGCGGCGGACGGGUGAGUAACACGUAAAGAACCUGCCCUCAGGUCUGGGAUAACCACGAGAAAUCGGGGCUAAUACCGGAUGGGUCAUCGGACCGCAUGGUCCGAGGAUGAAAGGCGCUUCGGCGUCGCCUGGGGAUGGCUUUGCGGUGCAUUAGCUAGUUGGUGGGGUAAUGGCCCACCAAGGCGACGAUGCAUAGCCGACCUGAGAGGGUGAUCGGCCACACUGGGACUGAGGCACGGCCCAGACUCCUACGGGAGGCAGCAGUAGGGAAUCUUCCACAAUGGACGAAAGUCUGAUGGAGCAACGCCGCGUGAACGAUGAAGGCCUUCGGGUCGUAAAGUUCUGUUGUAAGGGAAGAACAAGUGCCGCAGGCAAUGGCGGCACCUUGACGGUACCUUGCGAGAAAGCCACGGCUAACUACGUGCCAGCAGCCGCAGUAACAC